UCUUUUCCUUGUGUGCCAGCCGCCGCGGUAAUACGUAGGGAGCGAGCGUUGUCCGGAAUGACUGGGUGUAAAGGGAGCGUAGGCGGGAUGGCAAGUCAGAUGUGAAACCUGAGGGCUCAACCUUCAGACUGCAUUUGAAACUGCUGUUCUUGAGUGAAGUAGAGGUAAGCGGAAUUCCUGGUGUAGCGGUGAAAUGCGUAGAGAUCAGGAGGAACAUCGGUGGCGAAGGCGGCUUACUGGGCUUUUACUGACGCUGAGGCUCGAAAGCGUGGGGAGCAAACAGG
rnacentral:rRNA from 1 species